UGAAGGCAACAUGACAAUUAUCGGAAGGGUGUCGUGUUGAGGAGGAAAGGAUAUUAAUUCACACUACUUGGUCUUCUUACUGCCUAUCUAAUCAAUGACAAUAUCACUGUACAUUUUGGGAUAGACAUUUCUAGCAUGAGAUAAUAAACAAAUACUUGUGAGGAUCGUGAGAGUCAGAAAAAAACAGGAAAAAGUCUCCCUCAAACUGGAUACUGCAGAUCCCGGUAUGGCUAGCAUUUGACUCCAACCCUGUUGAUUGUGUUUUGCAAGGAGGAAGCAGAAGAAGACAUUCACAAGCAGAUCUGUCCGGCAUUCCAGAAGCCUGUCAUCAGACAGCGACACACAGAAAGACUAUCAGGCUUCAGAAUACCACAACACA